rnacentral:lncRNA from 1 species
AUAAACAACUCAGCUCCUGGUAAUUUUCUCCCCUCUGGAUAGAGCCAAGUGGAAAUUGCUGCUAGUGGAUAUGCUACAGCUGCUUGUGACAUUCUGAGAAGGUGGAUAUUUGCAAAUAAUACAGUUCACUUGACCCUCGCUGCUUGGCAAUGAAAGAAAAACAAUCUGAAGUACUUUCUUGGGGUUUUGGAGAGAUUGACAGGAAAAUGUCUUCAGAGCAAACGCACGCCAGAUGGAAUGAAAACGGUUUAUUGGAGUAUGGAGGUGCUGCUGAACUGAAUAGAGGGCGGGUUUAAGGGAAAAUGCCUGACUGCAUUGCACUUUUACAAGGCCCAAAACUCUUGAGCCAACUACAGUGAAAUGGUGAACAAAAAGCCAGUCUAAUACAGCAGGAUGUUCCUUCACAGUAUUUUAGAAAAAUAAAAAAAAAACCAAAUUAAGAAAAAGAAAAAAA